CUACGGGGCGCUGCAGGAGUGAAUCUUUUACAAUGCGCGAAAGCGUGAUAGAGCGAACCAAAGUGCUUAUCUUUUUUGAUAAGCUUUUGUUGACUGUAAAUAUGUCGAUGAAUAAGGACUGGGAAAGACUGGUGCCAGCCGCCGCGGUAAUACCAGCAGUUCUAGUUGCAACCACUUUUAUUUGGUCUAAAACAUCCGUAGCUUGUUUAAUAAGUUCCUUGUGAAAUUUCACGUCUCAAGCGUGAAGCAUGCAGGGAAUACUGUUAGGCUAGAGACCGGUAGGCGUAAGAAGUAUGUUCGAGGUAGCGGUUAAAUGUGUUAAUCAUGAGCAGACUAACAAUUAGCGAAGGCAUCUUACGAGGACGGAUCUGACAGUGAGGGAUGAAGGCCAGGGGCGCAAAACGGAUUAGAUACCCUUGUAGUC
rnacentral:rRNA from 1 species